rnacentral:rRNA from 1 species
UACGUAGGGUGCAAGCGUUAAUCGGAAUAACUGGGCGUAAAGCGUGCGUAGACGGUUAUUUAAGUCGGGUGUGAAAGCCCCGGGCUCAACCUGGGAAUUGCAUUCGAGACUGAAUAGCUAGGGUGCGGAAGAGGGAAGCGGAAUUUCCGGUGUAGCGGUGAAAUGCGUAGAUAUCGGAAGGAACACCAGUGGCGAAAGCGGCUUCCUGGUCCAGCACCGACGUUCAGGCACGAAAGCGUGGGGAGCAAACAGG